rnacentral:sRNA from 1 species
GCCGGGCGUGGUGGCGCACGCCUGUAAUCCCAGUGGCUCAGGAGGCUGAGGCAGGAGGAUCGUGAGUUCAAAGCCAGCCUCAG